CAGGGCCAGGACAGAGCAGGGACACAAUAAAUAUCUACUGACUCUGACUUUAGUGUAGCGAUUCAUAUAGUCAAGGUAUGUGCCAAGUGCGUUGGGAGCAAGGAGGUGGGACUGUCUAGGUCUGCUUGAGGGGAUGGAAGGGUCACAGAGCCAAGGAAGACCUGGGACUUGAAGGGUGAGUAUCUUCUUUAAAACAUCCCCUGACAAUCUUUGGAAUCCAUCACAGUUCUAUUGACUUUCCUGCUGUGAAAAUUCUGCAAAUUCACACCUCUCUCUCUGGGUUUUUAAUUUUGUACUAAUGAUGUGCCUUCAGAGUGUAACGCUUUACUAGCAUUCUAAGGGCAUAUGGCAGAAACCAUUCCCUGCUCCCAGUAAACUUCUUCCUUGCCAAAAGAACAUCAGUUUUCUUCAAGACAGCAAGGUGUCCAAACCUGGGGGGGUUGAGCCAUAAUGGGUCUAAGUCUGACAUACCUAUUCCAUUAACAUUUGCCAGCCACUCGCUUUCCCAGACUUCCUGGCAGCUAAUGUGACACAGUUCUGAUUAAUAAUAUUCUGGUCAAUUGCACAUAAGUGUAAGUCAGCUAGGAAAGCUUCUGAGAUAUUUUUGUUCCUUCACUGAUAAAACAGCAUAAUCAUUCCAGGAAAAGGACACUUUGCCACACCACACCCCUACCCCCAACACCCUUCUUCCUUUAAAUACAGUUGUGAUGUCUGGAGGUGUGGCAGCCCUCUUGCAGCCAUGAGGUAACCAGGAGAAGAAUCAAUGAUCUACCUACCUCUAGAGGAUGGAAAAGUCCCUGGCAUCUUGAUGGCACUAUUGAGCUGCCAUUCUCACUUUAGACUUCUUACCUCUAGACUUCCUGUAAUGUGAGAUAAGCAAACAUAUUUAUUACUUAGGCCACUAUCAGUCAGAUUUUGUGUUACAUGUUGCCAAAUAUAUCCUAAAUUAUAUAGUUGUUUUCAGAAAGAGGACACCUUUCUUCUCACCAGAAUUAUGAAGCUCUAAGACUGUUAACAAAGUGAUAGUCAGUGAUCAACUAGAUACAUGAAGAUCUAAGAUAUCGUUUCUCCAACCCCAGAAGCAGAAAACCUUCUUCCUCCAAUCCUCUCUUCCCAACAAUGACUCUUCCUUGGCUGGGAGGAGAUAUUUGCUCUUCUGAUUUCAUGCCUCCAAAUAUCACCCACUGCUUCAUUGCCAUUUUCGUUUGGCUAGGUCUUUGUUUAAGGUGGUCCCUCUGGAGGGUCUGGCUGCUUAGGAGAGUUGAACUUGUCAAAACUCAGAGUCAGAUUCUCCUUGGCAAUUGCAAAGGUAGGCUGUCACCAGCCAUAUCAACAGUCACAGCAGAAAGAGAGCUAUUUAUUCAUCUAAGACCUUCAUGACUCACAGUCUAAACAUUCUGUGAACCCUCCUCUGGCAAGUCAUACCCUGCCCCAGUCUCUGGAGAGAGUGCUUCCCACCCAGAGCCACUUCAACACAACAGACUCUUGGCUUUCGGCUGCUAAUCUUUGGGCUGCACAAGUGGUCAUAUUAUUAAUGACUCUGAGUCCUAUUGCUGUGCCUCUGCCUAACUGUAUCCUCUUCAGAAUACAACCCACUCCUCAUAUGACUAGAGUUCAAGUCUCUCCAGCUUUUGGUGACGCCCCCAUUUUUAAAUACCCCCUUGUUUGUCAGUGUCAAUCAGGAAUCAAAGAAUCUACCAUACCCGGGUGGGUCUGCCCACUUCCAAAUGUGAAAGAGAUGGAAGAAAGGAGCUCUGGCCUUUCAGAAUUUUAGGCAUGAGUCUUUAAUGAGAAUUUUUCAUCUUUGAUUUAAACUUCUACUCAGUCCCAACUUAUACAGUGAAUAUGACUAUCCCCUUUGGAGUAAGGAAAUCCUCAAGUGUUUAUGACACAAUUCAUGGAAUGUUUUACUCUUUACCAACUCCUCACAUGUGUGGACACAACUGAGUUGCUACUUCCCUCAGGAAGUCUACCCUGAUCUCACUAGGUGGUGUUCCAUUUAGGAAUCCCUGCAACACCUGCUACUUCCUUGAUGAGAGAGCUAAUCAUACUGGCAAUCGCCUACUAAUCAUGUCAGUCACCCCCUGGAAUUGCAAGGUCUGUGAAAGCAGGGUCUAUCUCAUGUCACCACCAUAUAGAACAUUCCCUAACAUGUAAUAGGUACCUCAGGUAAUUAGGUAGUAAGGAGCAAAUCAGGUAGAGAGAAGUGACCACCUUCUACAACUUGAAAGACACCAAAACUGGCUUUCAGGCCCCUAAACUUGGAAAGGAGGAUGAUGGACAGGACUGACCAAGGGGAUAUUUCUGAUGUUCUAUCCAUCUGCGUUCAUGAAUAUAUCAACACCUUGAGGACAUGGCCACGUCUUACACUUUUUUCUCCAAAAAAGGGGAGUCUAAUCUUCCCUCCCACCUCUAAGUAGUUAUCAGUGCAUUGCUUGAGGUGUUCUAUUUGCAUAACAACCCACAAGACCUUGAAUAAAAUGUUAUAAAGACACUGGUACAGACAGGCUUCCUCCAGAGUCCUGGAACAAAUGCUGUAGAAUAUAAAUAAAUAGGCAUCAACAAGGAAGACUUCCCAAUGGGCAAAGACACUAUUCAAUGGAAGAAAAAAUUUGAAGUUCCAAGGCUCUGUCCUGAAAUGCCAUUAAUUAUCAGUGGAUUGGCCAUAGAUUUGAGAGGGACCCUGUAUGGUUCUAUUCAAGGGUUCUUUAGCCUAAACUAAAAAAUCUUGUCCCCACCUCCCUUGAAACCCCAACACUGGUCAGGGAAGCUCCCCUCAGAAGCAGGUGGCCAAAGGUGGUGGAGGGAAAGAAGGCAAACCAGCCCUUUGCUAUGAAACCAUAAGAGGGGAGAAAUAGCCAGCAAAAUUUUCUGGCUACCAGUCAGACCAUAAGAGCCUUGCAGGAUCCCACCAGGGAAGAAGAAAGCCUAUGGAAGAGGAAGUUCAGGAGCCCAGAAAACAUGUAACGAGAGAAAGCCAAGGAGUCAGAAAUCACUGGUCCAGCCCUCCUGUUUUCUCUUUGACCAACUAGUUAGUUACUUCAUAUUCCUGGCAUCUACAUUCAUCAUCUAUAAGAUGGAAAAAAUAGGUCCUAGGCUUGCUAUAGAUAUUUAAGAGGAUUGCAUAUUCACAGCUCCUGACCCACAGUAAGUGUUCAAUACAUACAAACAUUAUUAUCGCCCCCUAGGUAGAGGCUAAGAACCAAAGUCAGUUUUACUUCCUGUUACAGUGUGAUUCUCCUACCCCACCUGAAUGUUUACCCCCAGGCUGGUGUGGCCAGGGAAUUCCAGAUUUUAUCUGGCUGUCUUCCAGUGCUGAAUGCACUCCCUGAACCCCAUCUCCACCCUCUGUCUUUAACACCUGGCACUCUCACACACCAUAUACCUUCUUUUUCAUAAAUUCAGGUCAUAUAUCUCUACCUCGGCUUAUCUAGAAACUUCCUUCCUUGGAUCUUAACCUUCUGCAGAUCCAAUCCAGCUUUUCAUUUUUUUUACAUCCUUAUCCCUCCUAACCUCAUUGGACUUUGCAUCUGGACUCUCUGGCGAAUGACUCCAAAUAGCCAUCAUGGACUCUGGCUUGUGCUUAUCUGCUAGCUCUCCCGGCUUCCUGCUUCCUGGCUUCCUAACAGCAAGACUUGUCCAGUCUUCACAUUCCUAAACCAGACCCACAGCCACCUAAUCAGCUGGUUUCCUGGUUGAACAACCAAAGCCCUGGGUUGAGGAAGCUGGCAUAGAAAUGGUGCCCAGAUACACAGAAUCUAGGUACACAGAAUGCAAUGGUCUCACACUGAUGUCCAUUUAUAACUCAUUGCUGGAAUGGGGCUGUGUCUCUACCCUCAACAAGGCUAACAGCCUCAUAAAAAAUGGUUAUCUGCCUCAGAUCAAAGGGCAAGGAAAUUGCUCUCUGAUAGACAAAUACGAAUGUGGAAGUGAAUCUGAAAACUACCAAUUACCCUGACCUGAAAGAGUUUCAACAUAAAAUGUAGCUCAUCUGAAGAACCCAGAACACAAAAAUCCCAAACCAGUUUCAGGAUGUGAUUGAACUAAUAAAUUUAAUAAAUUGCUUGAAUUGAUUAAAGUUGAUUAAAUUAUUGGUUAAGUAAAUUCAUCUUCUUGGGACCAUGAUAAAGAGGGGAGGCAAGAAAGUCAUUGCACACCCACCAUGUGCCAGACAUUUUCUCACGUAAUCCAUACAACACUCUGUAACCCUGACAGUGUUAUUUCUCAGGUGAGCUAUGAAACUCAGAUCAGAUUAGUAUCAUUUAGUCUGAAAGUCACACAUCUAGAGGCUGAGUCUGGAUUCAAAUCCAUAUCUGUCUCCAAGUCCGGGGCCUCAGCACUCCCAUUCCCUGCAACCUAGCCAUAAACAUGAAAGCUUCACCUUCCAGAGAGCACAGUUACCACACAGACCUCUUGUCUCCCUGUGGCAGCCACUUCCCCCUUCUUCCCACUGAAGACCGCUGAAAUCCUGGCCAGCCAGCAAGCAAUGGGGCUUUUUCUCUUCUCCAAGCCCUCCCCAACCCAUGUACUCCCUACCUGGAAAGAAAGUGUAAUAGAGCACAGUGACUAAAAUGGAUUCCAGAGCCAGGCAGCCUGAGUUCAAAUCCUGGCUCCACUGCUUACCAGUCAUGUGACUCUGAGCAAGGUAUUUAGCUUUUCUGUACUUCAGUGUCCUCAUCUAAAAUAGUAGCAAUAACAGACACUUGGGUGGCUCCCAAGUCAGACUUCGGCUCAGGUCAUGAUCUCUCGCCUCAUGAGUUCAAGCCCCGGGUUGGGCUCUCUGCUGUCAGCACAGAACCCAUUUCAGACCCCCUCUCUCCUUCUUUCUCUUUGCCCCUUCCCUGCUUGUGCUCUCUCAAAAAUAAAUAAGCAUUUAAAAUAAAUAAAUCAAUGGGGUUCCUGGGUGGCUCAGUCAGUUGGGCGUCUGACUUCGGCUUGGGUCAUGAUCUCACGGUUUGUGGGUUCAAGCCCCAUGUCGGGCUCUGUGCUGACAGCUUGGAGCCUGGAGCCUGCUUUGGAUUCUGUGUCUCCUUCCUGCUCAUGCUCUGUCUUUCUCUCUCUCUCUCUCUCUCUCUCUCUCUCUCUCAAAAAUAAACAUUAGAAAAAAAUGUUUUAAAUAAAUAAAAAUAAAAACAAAACAGUGGCGAUAGUAGUGAUCUACCCCCCCCAGGCUGCUGUGAAGACCAGCAGAACUCAGACAAGCGCUGACACAGGAAAUGCUCCAUAAGCUCGAGGGACUAUUACUAAAAGUCAAUUUUACAACACUUUGAUGAGGUUUUAUUCAAUGUCAUUGGAAAAAUGAAGGAACUGAGGCAGGGAACAGUUAUUAUCAUGCCCACUGUCACAUAGCUCAUGGGGGCAAGGCUGUGAUCAAAAAGAAAGGUCCCCCAUUUCCUCAUCCAGGGCUCCUCCUGCUCGCUGAACCAAGAGGCAGAAGAAGAGAGAGAUUAAGUAAGCUGUUCACGCAAGGGCAACCUCUCCCCGCAGUUUGCGCUGUCAUACCGAGCACAAUGAAGUCACCACAAACAUCCAUGUAUUUAUAAACCUACAACGUUAACCUCUUCACUUAAAAGCCUCUUGGAAACUGGCUGGUCAAAAGCGUUUCAGAUUCUGUCAGAGAAACUAGCUCACACUGACAUCUUGUCUCCAUAUGCCUUUAAAACCUGUUCAGAGCCCCCUAAUCCCUCACCGAGGGACAUUCCCCCACACUCCAUUCUUCUAAAGUUUCCACCGUUGGGUGUGGAUAUUCUCUGAAAGCUCUCUCUUUUGAAAAAUUCCCGUGCUUUGAGUCACGGCAAAAUCUAAGGGAAGUGAAUGCUGCCAAAGGUUUCAACAUUUACAUAAGCUCUUAAUCAGCCCUCGGGUUCAUUACAGUGUGAUGUGUCGAUUGCACUGCUGUCCAGGCAAAGGAAUGGGGUGUCAGGGUCUGCUGUUUUGACUUAGAGAAUGCAGAGGCGCUUUGGAAAAUCGUGCUCUGUGUGAGUGGUGGUUGAGCUUUAGGAAACAGGUUCCAGCUUCUCCCUUUUUGUUUUUAAUUUUCUUAACUCUUUAACUUUUGGUAUUGUUUUAUUUAUUUUCCGCUUCUCCCCUUUUUAAGAGUUUAAUCUUGUGCUGCGUUCUUGUUUCUUCAUUUAGUACAUAUUUAUUGGUUUCUUAUUAGGAAAGCCAUACUAAGGGCCAGAGACACAAUAAUGAGUAAAACAGAUAUGAUCUCUGGCUUCAUGGAUCUUAUACUCUAGAUGAGGCAACAGGUACUAAUCAAAAUGAAGAGUGGUGUCAGGCUGCAUAGCAGGGGAACGUGUGCCUGACCACAUCUGGGUCAGGGAAGGCUUCCCUAGUAAAUGAUGUUUCUUUCACCUGUGACCUGAAGGUUUGGCAGUGGAAUCUCCAGGCAGAGUACACAGAAAUAGGAUAGAGGAAGUGAAGAGAGAGCAGGAAAGAUGAAGACAGGAGAUGAAGCCCGUGAAUUAAACACAUCUUUAUUCUAGAAUAAUGGGAAGCCACUGAGAGGUUGUAGCCACCAUAUCCAAGGGCUCACCAUCCUGGCUAUUAUAAGAUAUUCUUCCUUGUAUUAUUUCUCUUUUAUUUUGUACCAACUGUGUUAAUAGCUAUUAUUUUUCUAACCUUGUAUUUUCUAUGUUAUUUAUGUUGACAUAUAUUAUCUCAGUUAAUCCUAUAAAUUGACCCUAUAAGAAAUGGACUAUCAUUAUACCCUUUUUACAGAUAAGAAAAGUGAGGCUUGAAAAGAGCAAAUAAUUUGCCCAAGGUCACACAGAUGAGAUGUGACGAGACGAGAUGAGAUGAGAUUAGAAUCUGGGUCUCUCUAAUUCCAAAUCCAAGUUUUUAACAGCAGGAAAUAUUGCAAGUUCCCUGCAGGCAGGAGCUGAGCCUUUCUGAUUUUGCUUGGUUUACUAGUGCCUGGCCCAUGAUCGGAGCCCAUUAUAGGUGUGUGGAACUGCUCACUUCUCCCACCUCCCUGCCCGUCCCCCACCUGAUCAUAGCUGACACCUCUAUAACUCGGCAUGCCAGGUACACUCGAUGUGUACUAGCUCGCUUUCAUUGUUAUCACAACCUUUGAAGCAGAUACUAUUCUUUGCAUCCUCUCCAUUUCGUAGACAAGAAAAGUGAGUUACAGAAAGGUGAAUAGCUUGGCAGAUGACCCUAGUCAUAAGUGGCCCAGCAAGGAUUCCAACCCAGGCAGGCUGGGGUAUGCCAGCUGUGACCACUAGAUGCUACUAUUUCUCCUGCUCUCCCACCACGUGGGCCUUCUUGACGCUUCUUGGAAAACAUGCAUUCUUCCACCUCCAGCCUUCACAGAUGCCAAUAUCUUCCUAUACUCUCUCCUACCGCACAGCCUAACUUCAUCUUCCCUUGGUCUGUCCUGUCCAUCCUCCAGGACUCUUGGUCAGGGUCUGGUGGCCUUGCUGCUCUUGUCCCUGAUGGCCCUCACUUGUCCCUCCCAGCUCUCACCACAUAAACCAAGUAUGUCAACUGCUGGUUCACCUGUCUGUCUCCCACACUGGGCGGGGCCUGCAUUGCUGAGUCCUUGCUGCAGCCACAAUGCUUGGAACUUGGCAGGAUCUCUAUCCUUACUAUGAAAUGAGCAGAUAAACACAUAAGUCAGUGAGUGAAUGCUGAAUAAUUCUUUUCUGGACCCCGUUGUGCUUGGCAACUACCACGCUGUUGAGUGAAUAACUGAGUGUAUAGUUUCAUUCCAGAAUUUAUUUUUUCCUUUGGCUUCUCCCCCACCCCCCACUUUUCUCCCUGUUUAAAAAUCCCAAAAAGACAUGACAGAAGCACAAAGAUCAAGGAUCAGGCAGUUGGUUUACCAGAAUAGUAAAGAAAAGAGAGAACCUGGAAUUUUUCCUCCAGCUUCAAUGUAGAAAAAAUGUCUAUAUCCCGAGGUCUGUCCUAGACUCUGGAGCACUGCUCUUGCUGUCCUCUUGUACCUCCCCAAACAGUAGGCCUAAGGGCUCUGCCUGGAGGGCUGGAGGCCCUGCAAAGAGCGAGGAAGCUGACUGAGCUGUGAUUGUUCCUGAGCUGUGGGGACAGUGGCUGUUCUGGGCACUUCAGGAAGUACUUGCUCUAAGAGGCCCUUCCAGCUAUUGUCUUUGGGGCCAGGACUGUUGGGCUGGCCCCGGGACAGGGUGCCCCCUCCAAGCCAAAGGUCUGCCUAGGGCUCAGGGGGCAGGAAGGUAAAACAGGGUCAGUACUCAACCAGGAAGGGGCCUUGGGCUCAAGCUUCUCUUUUCUUUAGGCCAUUAGCGCCAGGUGCCUCUGCACUUAUUUGUCUCCUCUGGCCAUGCACGUAUUGAUUAAAGAUAAGCCAGUCUCUCCGGGUGAUAGGUGGCCGGACCAGCGAGAACUAGCUGGUGCCAUGGAAGGCACGUGGACUUUGGAGUGGAGGCCCGAGGCUUGAACGCUGGCUCUGCCCCUCCCUCUGCCCUGGGACACUUCUGAAUCUCCUCUUCCUCUUCCUCUGCCAGAGAAGAGAUAUAAUCACCGGCUUGAGAGGCCAUGAGGAUGAGCCGAAUAAGAUUGAUGAACCUGUCAGGUACACAAUAGCAGUGGGAAAAGCCUGGUUUCCUUCCUUCUCUCGAGCAGCUGGACGAGGGAGGGCGGCGUGGGGAUGUGGUCGGGCGGCAGAUGUCACGUCUCACUGCAUUUCUGCCUGUCACAGGCUGCUGGCCUGGGCGCUGAGCCCGCUCCCGCCUGAAUUCUCCCGACAGCUGCCCUGCUUCUCCACUUGGACUUGCCGGGGCUCCCGUUGGAACCAAGAAAAGCCUCUGCUCUGCUCCAGUCACACACAAAAAAAUAGCAAGAAUGAUGCAACAUGUGUCUCUCAUGGCCACCAGCCACGGAGAAGGUCCAGGCAUCCAGAUCCCUACCCCAAACUCAUGCCAGCAUUGCAAAUCAAUGCCCUCUUGUUCCCAUGAAUCCUGGGUAACUCCCACCACUCUACCCGGCAGCAGCUCUGUCACCCCCUUAUCUCGUGACAAAGGCCACCAACCUAGCCACUGAGGCACAAAAUUGGCCGGGUGCAGAGAAAGUUUCUAAGUACCUAAUCCCUGUAACCUGACCUUUAAUUCUAAUAACAGUGACAUUUAUUAAAGAUUAUGUGCCUGGCACUGUUCUGAGCUCUUCAUAUUAACUCAUUUCAUCUUUACCAACGUAUUUUUGAGGUAGGCACAGUUUAUAUCACCAUUUUACAGGAGGAGAAACGGAGUCUCAGGGGGAGUGAUGUCAGCAUUAUGGCAGCAUGAGACAUUCCUCCAUUCUCUCCCCUUUUAACAAUGAAUUAAACAUCCAUCCAUGAAGAUGUCUCAGAGUGAGUUGUAGGAACCAGUACCAUAUGUCAAGGGACCCAGGAGGCCUCUCACCCAGCUGUGCAUCCAAAAAUAGGCAGACAGAUCUCUUGGUAAGGGCUGUGGGUUCUGAGUCUCAGAGACUUCAGUGGCUGGCCCACGACCAAAGACUUGACACGUUGCAGGUGAGAUGUGAACCCAUUUCUGCAGCUGCCGAGUCUAGUGUUUUCUGUGUUCCCACCAGGGCACUGAUUCCCAAACCAAAC
rnacentral:lncRNA from 1 species